ACCUGGGUGGCUCAGUCGGUUGAGCGUCCGACUUCGGCUCGGGUGGUCUGUGGGUUCGAGCCCCGCGUCGGGCU
rnacentral:tRNA from 1 species